AUAGCAACAAGCAAACCUUAAUGCUUAAAAAAAUAAUUUGUUAGAUGUUUGUUACCUAACAUUGGGGAUGAUUGAAGAAUGAAAAGGGCUCAGCUGUAAAGGAGAGCUACAGUAGUUUUUAGGCUCUGUAUAAAUAAAGUCCUGGUCGCAAUCUCUGGAAGCCACCUGAGAACCACUGGGGAUGACGUCCUACCGCCUGUGUGAGUCAUCCAGAUCCGACUCAUACCAAUGCUUGAACCCAGGACCUCUGCCUCCCAAAUGCACAUGACCGCCUCAUUAACGCAACCUUACCUCGUAGCGCCGUCAAAAAAAUGCCAACUGCCGGCACGAGUGGGGACGCAUCCCCUCUCCUUCAGCUUCCCCGUAACUGUGUAAUAUAU